GACAGAGGAUGCAAGCGUUAUCCGGAAUGAUUGGGCGUAAAGCGUCUGUAGGUGGCUUUUUAAGUCCGCCGUCAAAUCCCAGGGCUCAACCCUGGACAGGCGGUGGAAACUACCAAGCUGGAGUACGGUAGGGGCAGAGGGAAUUUCCGAGUGGAGCGGGUGAAAUGCGUAGAUCUUGGAAAGACCACCAAUGGCGAAGGCACUCUACUGGGCCAUUACUGACACUAAGAGACGAAAGCUAGGGGAGCAAAUGGG
rnacentral:rRNA from 1 species